GCGGGUUCUGACCUGAAGGCUCUGCGCGGACUUGUGGAGACAGCCGCUCACCUUGGCUAUUCAGUUGUUGCUAUCAAUCAUAUCGUUGACUUUAAGGAAAAGAAACAGGAAAUUGAAAAACCAGUAGCUGUUUCUGAACUCUUCACAACUUUGCCAAUUGUACAGGGAAAAUCAAGACCAAUUAAAAUUUUAACUAGAUUAACAAUUAUUGUCUCGGAUCCAUCUCACUGCAAUGUUUUGAGAGCAACUUCUUCAAGGGCCCGGCUCUAUGAUGUUGUUGCAGUUUUUCCAAAGACAGAAAAGCUUUUUCAUAUUGCUUGCACACAUUUAGAUGUGGAUUUAGUCUGCAUAACUGUAACAGAGAAACUACCAUUUUACUUCAAAAGACCUCCUAUUAAUGUGGCGAUUGACCGAGGCCUGGCUUUUGAACUUGUCUAUAGCCCUGCUAUCAAAGACUCCACAAUGAGAAGGUAUACAAUUUCCAGUGCCCUCAAUUUGAUGCAAAUCUGCAAAGGAAAGAAUGUAAUUAUAUCUAGUGCUGCAGAAAGGCCUUUAGAAAUAAGAGGGCCAUAUGACGUGGCAAAUCUGCUUGCUGUUUGGGCUCUCUGAAAGUGACGCCAAGGCUGCGGUGUCCACCAACUGCCGAGCAGCGCUUCUCCAUGGAGAAACUAGAAAAACUGCUUUUGGAAUUAUCUCUACAGUGAAGAAACCUCGGCCAUCAGAAGGAGAUGAAGAUUGUCUUCCAGCUUCCAAGAAAGCCAAGUGGUCUCACUCUGUCACCCAGGCUGGAGUGCAGUGGCACAAUCUCGGCUCACUGCAACCUUUGCCUCUUGGGCUCAAGCCAUCCUCCCACCUCAGCCUCCCAAGAACUAGAAUUCAACAAAGACAACUUUUGAUCUCUCAUCAGAGAGAUCAUACUCCCAAGAACAGGCUUUGACCCUUCUUUAAAAGAGGAUUGUCCUGGGCUGAUGAGAGUCACUUUACCUGAAGAUACCUGGGAAGUUUUGUCUCCUCUGAGGUUGGCCCAUGGCCAGUGACUGAUGCAGGACAUUACAGCCUGGCCCACUGGCCUCGGUGGUACAAUUUAUGCUCCUGAGCACCCCAUGGGAUUACGCUGUGUGUGGAUUUCUCCUGAAACCACAUAUUUGCCUCUUCUGCCCUGUUCUGUUUUUUCUCAUUCCCUUAUAGAGGACUCUCAGUAAGUCACUUACACAAGAAUCCUAAUUUGAAAUGCUGCUUCCAGGAGACCUGACUUAGAAAAUUGGACAAAUAAAGUUGAUUUUUUUAAAUGUCCAGU
rnacentral:lncRNA from 10 species